rnacentral:rRNA from 1 species
CGCGUGGGAACGUAUCCUUUUCUACGGAAUAACGCAUGGAAACGUGUGCUAAUACCGUAUGCGCCCAUUCACGGUGGACGUGAUUGGGGAAAGAUUUAUCGGGGAAGGGACGGCCCGCGUUGGAUUAGCUAGUUGGUGGGGUAACGGCCUACCAAGGCGACGAUCCAUAGCUGGUCUGAGAGGAUGAUCAGCCACAUUGGGACUGAGACACGGCCCAA